GCCCACACAUGGCCUGAGUCAUUCCUUGCUCACAAUCCCUCUUGCUUCCUCUGCAGGUCUCUUGCUUCACGAGCCCACAUGGCCUGUGUGAAGGACAGUGGAAAUCCCAGAGGUGUUAUUGAGAAGCUCCUGCAGGAGCAGGGCUCCAUGACCAGACCCACUUCAGUGCUUACAAGCUGCCUCUCCUUCCUUUCCCCUUGCCGGGGGAUUUCCCUGUGUGUUGACGCAUCAUUUCCCUGCAUCAGCACAGGGUGCUCCUCACCAGCAAACAGAGCAUGGAUUAAAAAAAAUACAAGAUAGUUGAGUUGUCCCUGUUUCGGUUUUUUAACUUCAUUCAAAUAAUGAAAGAUGGAAAAGGUCUCUGCAUCGCACGACCUUGAACUGGAGCUUCUGGGCUCCUUGGCCUCACUGCCAGCCCCGCAGCCAUGGGAAGGCAGGGACAUGUGCAUGUGAGGAUGUGUCAGCCUGGAAUAGAACUGCUGAGAAGUGGAGCUGGUUCGGGUGCUCAGGGACCCUGAGUUCGCUUUAACUGAUUUCCUUAAGCAGAGUGGUAGUUUAUGAAAGGUUUACAGCAGGGCUGGGGUUUUUAGCGUGGGGAUUUAGUGCAUGUUUUUCCUUUUAGUUGACUUGGGAAAUAAGUGGCACUGGGGGCUUGAUGGUGGUUUCAGGGAAGGGGAACAGAUAAAGGAUAUAGGAAUUAAAUGCCUGUGUCAAUUUCAGAGCAGGCAAGGCCUCAGUCUUGCUGAUUGGUCCUUUACUCUCUGUGUGUGUGUUUAUACAUCCAAAAUUCUCCAUCUUUUGACAUAAGCAAGACCUGGCUGAUGCCAGUGGUUCUACCCAUGUGACAAAUGCUGUUCCCUGCCUGUGUUUCCAGUUCUUUAGCAGGUGCUGCCCAAGCUUUGCUCUCCCCAGAAUCAAAUGUGUUUUGGAAAAUAGGAGCCACUUGAAACACCUCUGGAUUUUUCUGGUAUUUUUCCACUUUCCAUGUACUUGUUUUUGUUACAGGUUGGGGAGGAUGCCUGUGCACAAAAAACUUGAGACACAAUUGUGAUUGCAAAGCAAAUUUCUUUUAUUUUAUUAGUUGCUGCAGCAAAUAAUACACACCAACCCCUGGAUUCGUGAAGAGCUGCUGAGAAGGAGAUGGAGCAUGGUGCUCAGGCAGGAGGGGCAGGCAGGCAGGCAGGGCAUCUUCAGGCCAUCCCCUGGAUGGAAACGAUGUGCAUCUUGUCCUUCUCUCCCCUUCCUCCCUAGAACCACACCUUAGACCUCCUCCUCUGCACUGGAAUUUUUUCAGUUACAAUGGCAUCUCACAGGUGGCCAGUGUGUGAGAUGAGGCCACAAUGACUCAUGAUACCCCCUCCAUGCCAAUAUCAGCUCCACUGUGCAUUGUUCCUCUUUCACAGGUUAAGUUCCUAUAGAUUGACCAAUACAUUGUUUCUCUUUAAGGGUCAAGGUCCCACCAUUACACAGUAAACUGUUCUUCAUUAUCUUGUUGACAUGCACAACCAUGGGCCAAAUAUGGCAGGGCCUUAGACACAACUUGGGUCCCUGAGACAACUUGUUUUUUUUUUUUGACUCAGCUAAUGGGUUUCAAAACUGAGGAGGAGUACCAGCUUUGAACCAGCCUUCUGGCAAGUUCUUCACAAGGCAGGCUGUGGUGGCAGGCCCUAAAAAUGAUUAAUUGCAGUAAGACUGCUUGGAGCCCACCAGCUUGGUCUUUGCUUUGGGUUAGGGAUGGAAAAGUGCUGUUGUGCUCUCAAUAUGGCAUAUGGAAUUCCAAGUUCACCAAUGGAUUGUAUUGAUCCUGAAGGAAAUGGAGUAAGAUUGUAGUGUUGGAUUUUGUGGCCUGAAGCAGUUUAAGAAUCAGAUUCAGGUACUCUUUGUUUUGUCUUCCUUCGUAUAACAUGAGAGGCCUUUAAGUAGCCAUGGCAGCUGUAGUUCAGGGAGUGAGUGUGAGACUUUUGGGCAGCUUUAAGAGCCUCAUGCUGAAGUGAUUUGUGAAAUGGCAGAAGGGGCUGUAGUGUGUAAACUGUUUAUCUCAAUGUUUGUAUUUUAUGCAGGGAGGGAAAAACACAACAAGGUAAUGACUGGGAGAGCAGGAGGAAAAAACACCACGAUUGAGACAAUGGGGAGAAAUAGAUACACUCAAAAGCACUUCUGUUGUAUUAUCUAGCCUCAGAAGUCAUUCAGUGGCCCAAGAGAGAAUGAUUUCAUGCAGAAGCUGUAAAAUUGGUGUGCAAUCUAAAUUACCCAGUUAUGGAAAUCUUUAAGCUGAAACCUCAUGAAAUAGCACAAAAUAUCCCUAUCUCUCACAGGCUUUGUGCAUGGCUGAUGCACUGGGAGGGCUUCGGCUUUGCUGUUGAGAAGUUAAACAGUAGAAGUGGAGAAGUUGAAGAUUUCUUCAAGUGACCGCAAGGGAAGUGGAGUGAGGUGCUUUUACAUAUCUGACAUAGACUAAUAAAAGGAAAUUGACCAAUUCCAGGCAAAUAUUAAUGAAAAACAAUUUAUAUACUUAUCAUAUAAAGAUUACAGGUAAGCAGUUAAAAACGUAACAUAUAUAAACAUUUGGAAAGUGUAAUUUUAAAAUCCAGAACAUUCACGUUUCAGCUUAACACUGCUAUACACCCUCUGAGUGAGCAGUACUAUAUACAUUAGGAGCUAUGCUAUGUACACAAGGAACUGCACUGUACAGACACCAAAAGCAGAGAAAACUUAAUUUCUAGUCUUGCCCUAACUCUGGGCAAAGGUUAAGGCUCAGUAACAACUCCAAACAAACAUACAACAGGAAUUCAUUAAUUGUUCAGAUUACAACCUACACCAGGCUUGUGGGACCUACCGUAGGUCUCUUGGAUGUACAAUAUACCUACAGUCAGUCUGUUUUACCUACCUGUAAACAGAAGUGAUACAUCCAAUUGCAGUGUAAAAUUUACCUGAGCCCAGUUUUGCAAAUUAGUGGCACAGAACUGGGGGGGAAAGGCCCAGGCAUGG
rnacentral:lncRNA from 1 species